GGAGCCGUCGACCAACUGGCAGGUCCCCGCCCUUUCAAGGCGGUGCGUGCGGGUUCGAACCCCGUCGGCUCUA
rnacentral:tRNA from 1 species